CGGUUUAAGCGUGUAGGCUGGUUUUCCAGGCAAAUCCGGAAAAUCAAGGCUGAGGCGUGAUGACGAGGCACUACGGUGCUGAAGCAACAAAUGCCCUGCUUCCAGGAAAAGCCUCUAAGCAUCAGGUAACAUCAAAUCGUACCCCAAACCGACACAGGUGGUCAGGUAGAGAAUACCAAGGCGCUUGAGAGAACUCGGGUGAAGGAACUAGGCAAAAUGGUGCCGUAACUUCGGGAGAAGGCACGCUGAUAUGUAGGUGAAGUCCCUCGCGGAUGGAGCUGAAAUCAGUCGAAGAUACCAGCUGGCUGCAACUGUUUAUUAAAAACACAGCACUGUGCAAACACGAAAGUGGACGUAUACGGUGUGACGCCUGCCCGGUGCCGGAAGGUUAAUUGAUGGGGUCAGCGCAAGCGAAGCUCUUGAUCGAAGCCCCGGUAAACGGCGGCCGUAACUAUAACGGUCCUAAGGUAGCGAAAUUCCUUGUCGGGUAAGUUCCGACCUGCACGAAUGGCGUAAUGAUGGCCAGGCUGUCUCCACCCGAGACUCAGUGAAAUUGAACUCGCUGUGAAGAUGCAGUGUACCCGCGGCAAGACGGAAAGACCCCGUGAACCUUUACUAUAGCUUGACACUGAACAUUGAGCCUUGAUGUGUAGGAUAGGUGGGAGGCUUUGAAGUGUGGACGCCAGUCUGCAUGGAGCCGACCUUGAAAUACCACCCUUUAAUGUUUGAUGUUCUAACGUGGACCCGUGAUCCGGGUUGCGGACAGUGUCUGGUGGGUAGUUUGACUGGGGCGGUCUCCUCCUAAAGAGUAACGGAGGAGCACGAAGGUUGGCUAAUCCUGGUCGGACAUCAGGAGGUUAGUGCAAUGGCAUAAGCCAGCUUGACUGCGAGCGUGACGGCGCGAGCAGGUGCGAAAGCAGGUCAUAGUGAUCCGGUGGUUCUGAAUGGAAGGGCCAUCGCUCAACGGAUAAAAGGUACUCCGGGGAUAACAGGCUGAUACCGCCCAAGAGUUCAUAUCGACGGCGGUGUUUGGCACCUCGAUGUCGGCUCAUCACAUCCUGGGGCUGAAGUAGGUCCCAAGGGUAUGGCUGUUCGCCAUUUAAAGUGGUACGCGAGCUGGGUUUAGAACGUCGUGAGACAGUUCGGUCCCUAUCUGCCGUGGGCGCUGGAGAACUGAGGGGGGCUGCUCCUAGUACGAGAGGACCGGAGUGGACGCAUCACUGGUGUUCGGGUUGUCAUGCCAAUGGCACUGCCCGGUAGCUAAAUGCGGAAGAGAUAAGUGCUGAAAGCAUCUAAGCACGAAACUUGCCCCGAGAUGAGUUCUCCCUGACCCUUUAAGGGUCCUGAAGGAACGUUGAAGACGACGACGUUGAUAGGCCGGGUGUGUAAGCGCAGCGAUGCGUUGAGCUAACCGGUACUAAUGAACCGUGAGGCUUAACCUUACAACGCCGAAGGUGUUU
rnacentral:rRNA from 1 species